rnacentral:rRNA from 1 species
GUGCCAGCAGCCGCGGUAACACGAACCGUCCGAACGUUAUUCGAAUCAUUGGGGCUUAAAGGGUGCGUAGGCGGUGGCCGCAAAGUUGGGUGUGGUGAAAAUCCCUUGGCUCAACCGAGGAAAUGGCGCCCAAAACUGCUGUACUCGAGGGAGACAGAGGUAAGCGGAACUGAUGGUGGAGCGGUGAAAUGCGUUGAUAUCAUCAGGAACACCAGUGGCGAAAGCGGCUUACUGGGUCUCUUCUGACGCUGAGGCACGAAAGCUAGGGGAGCGAACGGGAUUAGAUACCCCGGUAGUCCUAGCUGUAAACGAUGAGCACUUGGUCGGAGACUCCUCCAUAGGUUUCUGGCCGGAGCGAAAGUGUUAAAGUGCUCCGCCUGGGGGAGUAUGGUCGCAAGGCUGAAACUCCAAAGGAAUUGACGGGGGCUCACACAAGCGGUGGAGGAUGUGGCUUAAAUUCGAGGCUACGCGAAAAACCUUAUCCUGGCCUUGACAUGCACGGAAUUAACCCCCGUGAAAGCGGGGCCCCCCCCUUCGGGUGGAACGGGCCCAAGGGCUUGCAUGGCUUGUCCCCAACUCGGGUCCGGAAAAUGGCCGGGUUUAAUUCCCUUAAACAAGCGAAAAACCCUUGGUCCCUUAGUUGCCCGCGAAUCUUUGGUCGGGAACCCUAGUGGAAAAUGGCCGGGGUUAACCCGGAAGAAAGGGGGGAUGACGUCAAGUCCUCAUGGCCUUUAUGGCCAGGGCUGCACACGUCCUACAAUGGCGCGCACAAAGGGAAGCGAACCCGUGAGGGCAAGCAAAUCCCAAAAAACGCGUCCCAGUUCGGAUUGCAGGCUGCAACUCGCCUGCA